rnacentral:rRNA from 1 species
AUUGAACGCUGGCGGCAGGCCUAACACAUGCAAGUCGAACGAGUGGCGGACGGGUGAGUAAUGUCUGGGAAACUGCCUGAUGGCGGGGGAUAACUACUGGAAACGGUAGCUAAUACCGCAUACCCUCAGAUGUGCCACGAUUGGAUUAGCUUGUUGGUGGGGUAACGGCUCACGAAGGCGACGAUCCCUAGCUGGUCUGAGAGGAUGACCAGCCACACGGGAACUGAGACACGGUCGAGACUCCUACGGGAGGCAGCAGUGGGGAUUAUUGCACAAUGGGCGCAAGCCUGAUGCAGCCAGGCCGCGUGUAUGAAGAAGGCCUUCGGGUUGUAAAGUACUUUCAGCGGGGAGGCGUUACCCGCAGAAGAAGCACCGGCUAACUCCGUGCCAGCAGCCGCGGUAAUAC